CUCAGAGGCUGCAGUCACCGCACGGCUAAAAGGUCCUUAAAGGGUUGUCUGUGCAAUGCGUGUUUUUCAAAAAGCCACUCAGGUGUGAUCAAGCAGAGGUAGAGUCUGGCAGCGUCGUCACGAAAACACAGCCUCGGCAUCGGCAGAAGCUGUCUACUGCACCAUCAAUCAGAUUUCCUCCACCAAGCGCUCCAUGCAGCCAGGAGGACUCAAAGUCCAUGUCACAUUGCCUUCUCUAGCUUCUUGUACCAAACAGCUUAUGCAACUUGACCGUGAGACACCAUCCAGGCAUUUGCAAGACUGAGCCCUCAAUCCUUCAACCAGGGUCUUGGGCAGAAAAAGGAUAAUCUUCACGUCUCAGAAAACCAUUUUGCAUGGAGCUUAAAAACGUGCAUCGCCUCCCAACCUUGUCUCGGCAUAUUUCACACUAAAAUGCUUUGUCCCUCUCUGUGCAUCUCUUUCUCAAUCUUCUCGUUUCAGUCCUUUUUUCUUACUAUCAGAAGAGGUUCCAUCAACAAUAUGCACCUUCAAAGGAUAAUGAGCUAGUAAUAUGUAGUAUGAGCAGCCGGUAUCAACAAGACUUAUUCAUAGACCCAGUGUGGCCUCUGACAUGUGUAUGCAAUCACUGCAGGUUAUCGGUGGCAGAAAUCCCCUCUAUCCCAAAUUGCUGUCCUCUGCCAUGGACAGCUGGAAUUAAUGAGGCAGUUUUUUUUUCAGGCAACAUGCAUGUGACAAAUGCCAAAUGACAAACCAUAGCUUGUGGUAACUGAAAAGUUCAUGCUGUAGAUAAAAAGAAUGUUCUAUCUAUUUACCUGUGUGACAUUUUUCAUUUUAGAAAUUGUGCAUCCAAGGUCUAAACCUACUGCUCUGUGCUUGCAUCAUUUAAACACUGUCUGGGUUUCUGCUGCUGCUUUUCAAUUCAGUCUGGCA